rnacentral:rRNA from 1 species
CACGUAGGGGGCAAGCGUUGUCCGGAAUUACUGGGCGUAAAGCGCGCGUAGGCGGCCUUAAAAGUCAGAGGUGAAAACCGGCAGCUCAACUGCAGGCCUGCCUCUGAAACUUUAAGGCUUGAGGACAGGAGAGGGGAGUGGAAUUCCCAGUGUAGCGGUGAAAUGCGUAGAUAUUGGGAGGAACACCGGUGGCGAAGGCGGCUCCCUGGCCUGUAACUGACGCUGAGGCGCGAAAGCGUGGGGAUCAAACAGG